GUUCCUGUUGUAGUACCACCCAUGUGCAUCGUCACUCAUGUGUGGCUAUGCUAACAGGAUAGAGGAACCUGCUGUCAGUGUCUGAAGGGGCAGCUGGACAAACCCACUCCCUCUAUAUGUACUGACAGCACAUCACUAC
ensembl:snoRNA SNORA29 Small nucleolar RNA SNORA29